rnacentral:rRNA from 1 species
UACGUAGGGGGCAAGCGUCGUCCGGAAUCAUUGGGCGUAAAGAGCGUGUAGGCGGUCCGGUAAGUCGGCUGUGAAAGUCCAGGGCUCAACCCCUGGGAUGCCGGUCGAUACUGCCGGACUAGAGUUCGGAAGAGGCGAGUGGAAUUCCCGGUGUAGCGGUGAAAUGCGCAGAUAUCGGGAGGAACACCUAUGGCGAAGGCAGCUCGCUGGGACGUUACUGACGCUGAGGCGCGAAAGACGUGGGGAGCAAACAGG